rnacentral:rRNA from 1 species
UACAGAGGUCCCAAGCGUUGUUCGGAUUCACUGGGCGUAAGGGGUGCGUAGGUGGUGAGGUAAGUCGGAUGUGAAAGCUCGGAGCUCAACUCCGAAAUGGCAUUGGAAACUACCUUGCUCGAGGGUUGGAGGGGGGACUGGAAUGCUUGGUGUAGCAGUGAAAUGCGUAGAUAUCAAGCGGAACACCAGUGGCGAAGGCGAGUCCCUGGACAACUCCUGACACUGAGGCACGAAAGCUAGGGGAGCAAACAGG